rnacentral:rRNA from 1 species
CAGCACCUCAAGUGGUCAGGAUGAUUAUUGGGCCUAAAGCAUCCGUAGCCGGCGCUGUAAGUUUUCGGAUAAAUCUGUACGCUCAACGUACAGGCUGCCGGGAAUACUGCAGCGCUAGGGAGUGGGAGAGGUAGACGGUACUCGGUAGGAAGGGGUAAAAUCCUUUGAUCUAUUGAUGACCACCUGUGGCGAAGGCGGUCUACCAGAACACGUCCGACGGUGAGGGAUGAAAGCUGGGGGAGCAAACCGGAUUAGAUACCCGAGUAGUC